CUGAGUUCCUGGUGGCUUGGCCGUUCUGACCCCGGACCGUUCACGACGCCUGCUGUGAGAUUAUCUUCGGUCUAACGGACUCGGGAUUAUUCAUAAGAAUUCAGCAUUCUCAGUAAACAGCAGUGAGAUUGCAUCCAUUAACAAAUUAAAACCAAGUACAAAACACGACAGGCACUUGCAUCUGGGAUUUUUCUUCUUCCUGUGGAUAGGGUUAAACCAGUACUGUUCCAUCUCAGUGUCACUGAUUAAAUGUAUAGAGAACAAAUUACUCGAUGCUUUUUCAAAACUCGAAGAAAUCCAGCCCGUCCCUCCGGCGUUCUCUCCAAAUCCACACCUCAAAACAUUCGUACUCACUUUCCGAACUGACAGGCAAGGAAAUGUCUCGUUUUCCUAAAUGGUUAGAUGUUUGUGGUCCACAUCAUGAGUUUUCAGAGCCCGAGACGUCACACAGAGCGAGGUUUCUCCUGGGAACUAAUAUUUUAAUUUAAACUCCCAGAACUUAAAAACAAAUAUUCUGAAAAGCUUCUGACUUCUAUCUUCAUUGACUUCACCUUUAAUAUGAAUUUCACAAUGGUUCAAAAGUGACAAAAAUCGCGCCAUUUCAUCAUAAAAUCACGUUUUAGACAUCACGAACCGCUUAAUGAUAAGGAAUUACGCUCGUUAUGGGAAUCCCACGUGCAUCACAUUUUUAAAAUAAGGUUUUAAAUAUAUAUAUAUAUAUAUAUAUAUAUUAAGGCGUCAGAUGAAAUUUCGAGCAAAUCGUUGAAAUCUGUCUCGUAAAAGAAAUAAAUGUGUCAGUGUGCCAUGUUGAGAUCUGUACGGCUCACGUGACUCAACAUGAAAAAUUGUUUUAAAUUUCAGUUUGAUGUGGGAAACCCGCGUCCCGAAAGACAUCUUCCCAAACGAUCCCAAAUUCAGGACAGACGGCGGACAGAACUCGACGUAGUUCCGUGGAUUUUUUUUCAAAGUCUAUUUCGAGAAAAACGUCCCGGAAAAGAUUCUCCGGUUCCUCUUUUAUUCUCGAAACACUAAAUCGAUU
ensembl:lncRNA